rnacentral:rRNA from 1 species
UACGGAGGGUGCAAGCGUUGUCCGGAUUUAUUGGGUUUAAAGGGUGCGUAGGCGGCUAUUUAAGUCAGUGGUGAAAUACAGCAGCUCAACUGUUGAGGUGCCAUUGAUACUGAAUAGCUUGAGUACAGAUGAGGUAGGCGGAAUUUAUGGUGUAGCGGUGAAAUGCAUAGAUACCAUAAAGAACACCGAUUGCGAAGGCAGCUUACUAAGCUGUAACUGACGCUGAGGCACGAAAGCGUGGGGAGCGAACAGG